rnacentral:rRNA from 1 species
UACGUAGGGUGCAAGCGUUGUCCGGAAUUAUUGGGCGUAAAGGGCUCGUAGGCGGUCUGUCGCGUCAGGAGUGAAAACUCGGGGCUCAACCCCGAGCCUGCUUCUGAUACGGGCAGACUGGAGGUAUGCAGGGGAGAACGGAAUUCCUGGUGUAGCGGUGAAAUGCGCAGAUAUCAGGAAGAACACCAACGGCGAAGGCAGCUCGCUGGGACGGUACUGACGCUGAGACGCGAAAGCGUGGGGAGCGAACAGG